rnacentral:rRNA from 1 species
AACGAACGCUGGCGGCAUGCCUAACACAUGCAAGUCGAACGAAGGCUUCGGCCUUAGUGGCGCACGGGUGCGUAACGCGUGGGGAUCUGCCCUUUGCUUCGGAAUAACAGUUAGAAAUGACUGCUAAUACCGGAUGAUGUCGCAAGACCAAAGAUUUAUCGGCAAAGGAUGAACCCGCGUAGGAUUAGCUAGUUGGUAGGGUAAAGGCCUACCAAGGCGACGAUCCUUAGCUGGUCUGAGAGGAUGAUCAGCCACACUGGGACUGAGACACGGCCCAGACUCCUACGGGAGGCAGCAGUGGGGAAUAUUGGACAAUGGGCGAAAGCCUGAUCCAGCAAUGCCGCGUGAGUGAUGAAGGCCUUAGGGUUGUAAAGCUCUUUUACCCGGGAUGAUAAUGACAGUACCGGGAGAAUAAGCUCCGGCUAACUCCGUGCCAGCAGCCGCAGUAAGAC